UGCGUAGGCGGUCCUUUAAGUCAGAAGUGAAAGGCAGUGGCUCAACCAUUGUAAGCUUUUGAAACUGGGGGACUUGAGUGUUGGAGAGGAAAGCGGAAUUCCUAGUGUAGCGGUGAAAUGCGUAGAUAUUAGGAGGAACACCAGUGGCGAAGGCGGCUUUCUGGACAAAUACUGACGCUGAGGAACGAAAGCGUGGGGAGCGAACAGGAUUAGAUACCCUGGUAGUCC
rnacentral:rRNA from 1 species